GAUGAACGCUAGCGGCAGGCUUAACACAUGCAAGUCGAGGGGUAGAAGUCUUCGGACUUUGAGACCGGCGCACGGGUGCGUAACGCGUAUGCAAUCUGCCUCGUACAAAGGGAUAGCCCAGCGAAAUCUGGAUUAAUACCUUAUAGUAUAUAGAUGUGGCAUCACAAUUAUAUUAAAGAUUUAUCGGUACAAGAUGAGCAUGCGUCCCAUUAGCGAGUUGGUAUGGUAACGGCAUACCAAGGCAAUGAUGGGUAGGGGUCCUGAGAGGGAGAGCCCCCACACUGGUACUGGGACACGAACCAGAAUCCAACGAGAGGCAGCAUGAAGGAAUAUUGGUAAAGGGGAGCAAGCCUGAACGCGCCAUGCCGCGUGCAUGAUAAAGCAUCUAUGGUGUGUAAACUGCUUUUGUACGGGAAGAAACACCUCUUCGUGAAGAGGCUUGACGUUACCGUAAGAAUAAGGAUCGGCUAACUCCGUGCCAGCAGCCGCCGUAA
rnacentral:rRNA from 1 species